GCCAGAGAAAGUUUAAACUAAGAUGAAGUUAUUGUUGUUGACUGUUUCUGUACUACUUGUAAGUCCCUCCAUCAGUGGACCAGCGACUCAAUCUGGUGUUGUCUUAACACAGAAUGAGGCUGUGAAGCUGUUUAUGGAAAUAACAAAACAAUUUGACCAGAAUAAAGAUACUCUCAACUUUAUAGCGGACAG
rnacentral:sRNA from 1 species